rnacentral:rRNA from 1 species
AAUCAACGCUGGCGGCGUGCCUCAGACAUGCAAGUCGAACGCGAAAGUUUCCUUCGGGAGAUGAGUAGAGUGGCGCACGGGUGAGUAACACGUGAGUAAUUUACCUUCGGGUGGGGAAUACUAACCGGAAACGGUUGUUAAUACCGCAUAAUGCAGCGGCAUCAAUGAUGACAGUUGUUAAAGCGGGGGAUUGGAGCAAUCCGACCUCGCGCCUGAAGAGAAGCUCGCGGCAGAUUAGCUAGUUGGUAAGGUAAUGGCUUACCAAGGCGACGAUCUGUAACCGGCCUGAGAGGGCGGUCGGGUCACACUGACACUGAAUAACGGGUCAGACUCCUACGGGAGG